AUACAGAGGGUGCGAGCGUUAAUCGGAAUUACUGGGCGUAAAGCGCGCGUAGGCGGUCUAUUAAGUCAGAUGUGAAAUCCCAGGGCUCAACCUUGGAACUGCAUCUGAUACUGGUAGACUAGAGUUUUGGAGAGGGAAGUAGAAUUUCAGGUGUAGCGGUGAAAUGCAUAGAGAUCUGAAGGAAUACCAGUGGCGAAGGCGACUUCCUGGCCAAAAACUGACGCUGAGGUGCGAAAGCGUGGGUAGCAAACGGGAUUAGAAACCCUUGUAGUCC
rnacentral:rRNA from 1 species